rnacentral:rRNA from 1 species
GGCGGCAGGCCUAACACAUGCAAGUCGAGCGGUAGAGAGGUGCUUGCACCUCUUGAGAGCGGCGGACGGGUGAGUAAUACCUAGGAAUCUGCCUGGUAGUGGGGGAUAACGUUCGGAAACGGACGCUAAUACCGCAUACGUCCUACGGGAGAAAGCAGGGGACCUUCGGGCCUUGCGCUAUCAGAUGAGCCUAGGUCGGAUUAGCUAGUUGGUGAGGUAAUGGCUCACCAAGGCUACGAUCCGUAACUGGUCUGAGAGGAUGAUCAGUCACACUGGAACUGAGACACGGUCCAGACUCCUACGGGAGGCAGCAGUGGGGAAUAUUGGACAAUGGGCGAAAGCCUGAUCCAGCCAUGCCGCGUGUGUGAAGAAGGUCUUCGGAUUGUAAAGCACUUUAAGUUGGGAGGAAGGGCAUUAACCUAAUACGUUAGUGCUUUGACGUUACCGACAGAAUAAGCACCGGCUAACUCUGUGCCAGCAGCCGCGGUAAUACAGAGGGUGCAAGCGUUAAUCGGAAUUACUGGGCGUAAAGCGCGCGUAGGUGGUUUGUUAAGUUGAAUGUGAAAUCCCCGGGCUCAACCUGGGAACUGCAUCCAAAACUGGCAAGCUAGAGUAUGGUAGAGGGUAGUGGAAUUUCCUGUGUAGCGGUGAAAUGCGUAGAUAUAGGAAGGAACACCAGUGGCGAAGGCGACUACCUGGACUGAUACUGACACUGAGGUGCGAAAGCGU